rnacentral:lncRNA from 1 species
AUAUUUUAGUAUUUUGAGUGCUGGGGAUGGAACCAGACCUCAUGCAUGCUAAGCAAGCACUCUGCCACUGAGCUACAUUCCCAGCCUUUUUAAAAAACAGUUUUAUUUUGAGACAGGGUCUCACUAGUUGCCCAGGCCGGGCUCAAACUCACGAUCCUCCUGCUCCAGCUUCCUGAGAAGCUAGGAUUACAGAUGUGCGUCACCGUGCCUGACUUAAAACUCUUCUGUGGUUUCCUGGUAACGCCUCACUGUGGCCUGUGCAGUCCCAUGAAAUGGAUCUUCGUCACCUCCCUGUGUUUGCCUUCUCUCAUUGGCUCACCUGUACCAGUGACGUGGCCUCCUGCUGUCCCCAACACAGGAGACCCUGUGGAGUGAUGGCUAGAAAUCUCCAGUCCUUGUCCUAAGCCAGCAGUCAUCUCGGAUUCCAGGAAAAGCAGAGCCUUGCCGACCAGCCAAGAUAAGGUGACCCUCUCCUCAAGCAGGAAUGAUCAUCUCACGGGAACCAGAUUGCCCUCUCCAGCCAGAGGGACUUCUCCAGAGCCACCUCACAAAACCAUCCUGAGAUACCGAUCAACCAGACCCGACUGGACCAGGGUCACAGAAGCUGCCAGCUAUGUGAACCCCAGCCUUUGUCUUUGUUGCCCUUUUGUACACAACCCCAGUGCUCUGUCAGCCCCUCUAAGACAGAUCUUGGGUCUCUGUCUGUGCUUCCCAGAAUGACCCUGCUGAUGAAAGCUCCUUUCCUGGCCUUCAUCACUGCCUGUCGCCUUGAUUACUAUUUUGGUA